GGUAGAAUGGCUGAGUAUAGGCAAUAAAUUGUAAAUUUAUUUACGGAAAAUUAUUCCUUUUACCA
rnacentral:tRNA from 1 species